GAUGAACGCUGGCGGCGUGCCUAAUACAUGCAAGUCGAGCGAACAGACGAGGAGCUUGCUCCUCUGACGUUAGCGGCGGACGGGUGAGUAACACGUGGAUAACCUACCUAUAAGACUGGGAUAACUUCGGGAAACCGGAGCUAAUACCGGAUAAUAUAUUGAACCGCAUGGUUCAAUAGUGAAAGACGGUUUUGCUGUCACUUUAGAUGGAUCCGCGCCGCAUUAGCUAGUUGGUAAGGUAACGGCUUACCAAGGCAACGAUGCGUAGCCGACCUGAGGGGGUGAUCGGCCACACUGGAACUGAGACACGGUCCAGACUCCUACGGGAGGCAGCAGUAGGGAAUCUUCCGCAAUGGGCGAAAGCCUGACGGAGCAACGCCGCGUGAGUGAUGAAGGUCUUCGGAUCGUAAAACUCUGUUAUUAGGGAAGAACAAAUGUGUAAGUAACUAUGCACGUCUUGACGGUACCUAAUCAGAAAGCCACGGCUAACUACGUG
rnacentral:rRNA from 1 species